GCAAGGUAGUUUAUAGCUGUCAUAAUCUGAUGACUUAUGUUUUCAAUUAGUUUCACGAUGUUAAACAUGUGAAUAAUACUGUUUCCAAAACGUCUGUGUCGUGGGUUCGCUUCGAACUCAUUCGACGCAUAUUUAUGAACUUGACUUCAUCUGGGAGUCGAAUUUCCUCAAACUGGACUUGAGGUUAAAAGGAAGCAGAAUUAACCAAUAUAAAGGAAGGAACAUUUCCACUGGUGAAUGAGGAAUAUUUAUGGCUUUUGCCAAAAAUGAGUACUGUCCUGUUCGUGUUGAAAAAUAGCUGCAAUACCAUCACAGAAAAGAAAAUUUAUGGAAAAUAAAGAUGCUUGUAAUGAGAUCGGAGUUUGACU